GGGUUGUGAGGUUAAGCGACUAAGCGUACACGGUGGAUGCCCUGGCAGUCAGAGGCGAUGAAGGGCGUACUAAUCUGCGAUAAGCGCCGGUAAGGUGAUAUGAACCGUUAUAACCGGCGAUACCCGAAUGGGGAAACCCAGUGUGAUUCGUCACACUAUCAUUAACUGAAUCCAUAGGUUAAUGAGGCGAACCGGGGGAACUGAAACAUCUAAGUACCCCGAGGAAAAGAAAUCAACCGAGAUUCCCCCAGUAGCGGCGAGCGAACGGGGAGGAGCCCAGAGCCUGAAUCAGCAUGUGUGUUAGUGGAAGCGUCUGGAAAGGCGCGCGAUACAGGGUGACAGCCCCGUACACAAAAGCGCAUGUGCUGUGAGCUCGAUGAGUAGGGCGGGACACGUGGUAUCCUGUCUGAAUAUGGGGGGACCAUCCUCCAAGGCUAAAUACUCCUGACUGACCGAUAGUGAACCAGUACCGUGAGGGAAAGGCGAAAAGAACCCCGGCGAGGGGAGUGAAAAAGAACCUGAAACCGUGUACGUACAAGCAGUGGGAGCACCCUUUGGGUGUGACUGCGUACCUUUUGUAUAAUGGGUCAGCGACUUAUAUUCUGUAGCAAGGUUAACCGAAUAGGGGAGCCGGAGGGAAACCGAGUCUUAACCGGGCGUUAAGUUGCAGGGUAUAGACCCGAAACCCGGUGAUCUAGCCAUGGGCAGGUUGAAGGUUGGGUAACACUAACUGGAGGACCGAACCGACUAAUGUUGAAAAAUUAGCGGAUGACCUGUGGCUGGGGGUGAAAGGCCAAUCAAACCGGGAGAUAGCUGGUUCUCCCCGAAAGCUAUUUAGGUAGCGCCUCGUGAAUUCAUCUCCGGGGGUAGAGCACUGUUUCGGCUAGGGGGCCAUCCCGGCUUACCAACCCGAUGCAAACUGCGAAUACCGGAGAAUGUUAUCACGGGAGACACACGGCGGGUGCUAACGUCCGUCGUGAAGAGGGAAACAACCCAGACCGCCAGCUAAGGUCCCAAAGUCAUGGUUAAGUGGGAAACGAUGUGGGAAGGCCCAGACAGCCAGGAUGUUGGCUUAGAAGCAGCCAUCAUUUAAAGAAAGCGUAAUAGCUCACUGGUCGAGUCGGCCUGCGCGGAAGAUGUAACGGGGCUAAACCAUGCACCGAAGCUGCGGCAGCGACACUGUGUGUUGUUGGGUAGGGGAGCGUUCUGUAAGCCUGUGAAGGUGUGUCGUGAGGCAUGCUGGAGGUAUCAGAAGUGCGAAUGCUGACAUAAGUAACGAUAAAGCGGGUGAAAAGCCCGCUCGCCGGAAGACCAAGGGUUCCUGUCCAACGUUAAUCGGGGCAGGGUGAGUCGACCCCUAAGGCGAGGCCGAAAGGCGUAGUCGAUGGGAAACGGGUUAAUAUUCCCGUACUUGGUGUUACUGCGAAGGGGGGACGGAGAAGGCUAUGUUGGCCGGGCGACGGUUGUCCCGGUUUAAGCGUGUAGGCUGGUUUUCCAGGCAAAUCCGGAAAAUCAAGGCUGAGGCGUGA
rnacentral:rRNA from 1 species